ensembl:misc_RNA 7SK 7SK RNA
GGAUGUAAGGGCAAUCUGGGUGCAACAUCUGUCACCCCAUUGAUGGCCAGGGUUGAUACAGCUGAUCUGACUGGCAGGCGGUGUCCCCUCCCCGCUCACCGUACCAUGUGCGUCCCACCCAAAGCUGCGCACUCGGUAGAAGAGGACGACCACCCCGAUAGAGGAGGGCGUUUCCCUGGUCAAGGGUGUAUGAGUAGCUGUGCUCCCCUGCUUGAAACUCCAAGCAGGCUCAGAAUAGGAAAAGGGAUGGGGAUUUAGCACAGUUCAAAGGCCCUGGGUUCUAU